AGUGAACGCUGGCGAUAGGCCUAACACAUGCAAGUCGAACGGCAGCACAGUAAGAGCUUGCUCUUACGGGUGGCGAGUGGCGGACGGGUGAGGAAUACAUCGGAAUCUACUUUUUCGUGGGGGAUAACGUAGGGAAACUUACGCUAAUACCGCAUACGACCUACGGGUGAAAGCAGGGGAUCUUCGGACCUUGCGCGAUUGAAUGAGCCGAUGUCGGAUUAGCUAGUUGGCGGGGUAAAGGCCCACCAAGGCGACGAUCCGUAGCUGGUCUGAGAGGAUGAUCAGCCACACUGGAACUGAGACACGGUCCAGACUCCUACGGGAGGCAGCAGUGUGGAAUAUUGGACAAUGGGCGCAAGCCUGAUCCAGCCAUACCGCGUGGGUGAAGAAGGCCUUCGGGUUGUAAAGCCCUUUUGUUGGGAAAGAAAAGCAGCAGGUUAAUACCCCGCUGUUCUGACGGUACCCAAAGAAUAAGCACCGGCUAACUUCGUG
rnacentral:rRNA from 1 species